UUUGGCGUGGGCGAAGCCUGACCGCCUGCCGCGUGAGUGAUGAAGGCCCUAGGGUUGUAAAGCUCUUUUGUGCGGGAAGAUAAUGACGGUACCGCAAGAAUAAGCCCCGGCUAACUUCGUGCCAGCAGCCGCGGUAAUACGAAGGGGGCUAGCGUUGCUCGGAAUCACUGGGCGUAAAGGGUGCGUAGGCGGGUCUUUAAGUCAGAGGUGAAAUCCUGGAGCUCAACUCCAGAACUGCCUUUGAUACUGAGGAUCUUGGGUUCGGGAGAGGUGAGUGGAACUGCGAGUGUAGAGGUGAAAUUCGUAGAUAUUCGCAAGAACACGGGUGGCGAAGGCGGCUCACUGGCCCGAUACUGACGCUGAGGCACGAAAG
rnacentral:rRNA from 1 species